CAGCCGCCGCGGGAAUACAGAGGAUGCAAGCGUUAUCCGGAAUGAUUGGGCGUAAAGCGUCUGUAGGUGGCUUUUCAAGUCCGCCGUCAAAUCCCAGGGCUCAACCCUGGACAGGCGGUGGAAACUACCAAGCUGGAGUACGGUAGGGGCAGAGGGAAUUUCCGGUGGAGCGGUGAGAUGCGUUGAGAUCGGAAAAAACACCAACGGCGAAAGCACUCUGCUGGGCCGACACUGACACUGAGAGACGAAAGCUAGGGGAGCAAAUGGGAUUAGAUACCCCCGUAGUCCCUGUCUCUUAUAC
rnacentral:rRNA from 1 species